AAGUGGAGCAAUCCAUGAGUAAAGUGGCGCACGGGUGAGUAACACGUGACUAACCUACCCUUGAGUGGGGGAUAACUGAGGGAAACCUUAGCUAAUACCGCAUAAUACCCACGGGUCAAAGGAGCAAUUCGCUCGAGGAGGGGGUCGCGGCCGAUUAGUUAGUUGGCGGGGUAACGGCCCACCAAGACGAUGAUCGGUAUCCGGCCUGAGAGGGCGCACGGACACACUGGAACUGAAACACGGUCCAGACUCCUACGGGAGGCAGCAGUGGGGAAUUUUGCGCAAUGGGGGAAACCCUGACGCAGCAACGCCGCGUGGAGGAUGAAGUCCUUCGGG
rnacentral:rRNA from 1 species